rnacentral:rRNA from 1 species
UACGGAGGGGGCUAGCGUUGUUCGGAAUUACUGGGCGUAAAGCGCACGUAGGCGGCUUUGUAAGUUAGAGGUGAAAGCCCGGGGCUCAACUCCGGAAUUGCCUUUAAGACUGCAUCGCUAGAAUUGUGGAGAGGUAAGUGGAAUUCCGAGUGUAGAGGUGAAAUUCGUAGAUAUUCGGAAGAACACCAGUGGCGGAGGCGACACACUGGGCCAUUACUGACGCUGAGGCGCGAAAGCGUGGGGAGCAAACAGG